rnacentral:rRNA from 1 species
UAGGGAAUCUUCCACAAUGGACGCAAGUCUGAUGGAGCAACGCCGCGUGAGUGAAGAAGGUUUUCGGAUCGUAAAGCUCUGUUGUUGGUGAAGAAGGAUAGAGGUAGUAACUGGCCUUUAUUUGACGGUAAUCAACCAGAAAGUCACGGCUAACUACGUGCCAGCAGCCGCGGUAAUACGUAGGUGGCAAGCGUUGUCCGGAUUUAUUGGGCGUAAAGCGAGCGCAGGCGGAAGAAUAAGUCUGAUGUGAAAGCCCUCGGCUUAACCGAGGAACUGCAUCGGAAACUGUUUUUCUUGAGUGCAGAAGAGGAGAGUGGAACUCCAUGUGUAGCGGUGGAAUGCGUAGAUAUAUGGAAGAACACCAGUGGCGAAGGCGGCUCUCUGAUCUGCAACUGACGCUGAGGCUCGAAAGCAUGGGUAGCGAACA